CGGCCCCGGCGUUAGCGGAGUGCGGACGCAAGUGAGAGAGAAAAUGAAAUAUCUCGAUGGAAAUAUAUCGAUUCGUUUCCCGUUGGCUCUACCGCGCUCAGACGAAACGACUGGCUGGAAGUGCGGCACGACGACGAGGACUUCCCUCAUUAAAAUUGUCAUCGUGAGCGUUAGGGGAGAGCGGGGAUACUUCACUGCAGGGGUGUGUUCAUUCCUUCACCUCGUACGAAGGAGUCAAGAAAUGGCUGGAUGAUUGGAUUGCCUCCAAAGAACCCGAAUUCUUCCUGCGUGGAAUCCGUUUGUUGGCUGAAAGAUGGACCAAGGCUGUCUGUUCCGAUGGGCAAUACUUUGAAUAAACCAAUUCGUCGAUUUGCUACAAAACCACUAAAUUUCCUUUCGCUCAAAAAUGGGCGGUUUCAUAUGCAACCAUCUAAUAUAAUGUCUAGUUGAUACGUUGGCUGACACGUGCUAAAUUUGGGGAUAACAAAAAUGGUUUCUAGUAGGUUUUUCAGCGCUGAUUACGAAUCUGGCCGCAAAAAUUAUCUAGCACGUCAGGAUUUUGAAAAAAUCGCGAUUAAAUAUACAAAAAAUGUCACUUUUUUAUGUUUUUGCAUAAGUCAUAUCUUUUAACAAAGACGUGAUAUAAAGUGCUGCGAGCGUGCAAAAGAAAGCUUUUAACUUGCAGUUGAUAUACGAGGGUGGAUCAAAUAUAAACGAGCCUUUUCAAAUUGUGCGCCCAUCAACGGCAUGAAGGGUCUGCAACGUUUUGGACAGUGGAUGCUACCUCGUAGCAAGUAUGAAAAAGUCCGAACCAACAAGGAAAAAACUGCGCACAAAAGUUUAUAUUUUUCAGAAAUGAUGAUAUU